AUUUUAUUACGCAUAUUUCACUUUCUAUUUGCACGUCUGCAGGCGAGAAGAUUCGACUGUAAACAGGCUUCGAUGGAAAUCUGCUUUGUGUUUCCGUGCACUCUUCCACCCUUCGGGAAUCUUAAUGCGCCUGCUAGGAUGUAAUGGGUGACAAACUCCAGAAUGGUGACAAUACCCCAGCAAGCUGUUGACCACUGACCAAGAAGAACAUGCUACUAAUGCUGCAUUCCUUAUACCCUGGAAGUUGGAUGUCGGAGCUGGGAGUGAUGUCAGUUCCAGAAGAAGAAGUUGGAAAAACAAGUUUGUUUUGGUCCUUUGUAAGACUGCAGCAAUUAGCUGACAUUGUGUCCCCUGGAGAAUGGCUCAUAAAAAGAAAAGUUUUCUCCUCGCCAAAAAGGCUUCGGUCACAGCUCUAUGCUUUAGUUCUGGUUUGGCUGAAUGGCGUCACGUGGGAACACAGAACUGCAGGGACUCCAAGCUGUUCCUUUUGGGAUCAAGAACUGAACCUGGUGCAUGCACUGAAGCAAACUGACAGUGAGCUCCUCUAAUCCGCUGCUCUAAUCCACCUCUGCUCAUGGCAACUUGCCUGCUUUUAGCAGAGGUGCACCGCUCGCCAGAACACCUGAUUCAGCAGGCACAGUAGCCAAACGGCUGAAAUCGACAGCAUACAAUUAGAAGAACAUCCUAUUAUCAUAAUGCAAUACAAGAGGGGAGAAACCGAGUCCAGGAAUGUUUAGAUAUGCACCGUUGUCAGUGAAAGCUUUGUGAACAUUAAGUGGUAAACUAUCCAUUUUAUAUGUAUGCUCAGUGUUUAUGUAAAGCUUUAUGUGAUAAUAUAGAGGUGACAAAAUGUUUUAUAUCUAAUACAAUACGCUGUGUAAGGUUCUAAAAGCUAGACGUAAAUAUUUUAUAUCAUCAUAAUUAAUCGGUGUGUGCUUUUGUUUCCAUUUGGCAUUGUAGCACACAUGGGGAUUUUAUGUUUUCCAUACAGCGAUGUAAUGCUCUAAAUGCCAUGCAUGUCUGGGAUGAUCUUAGAUUUACGUAUACUUAUUUACUAAUGCAUGCUUUUAUUCCCAGGAUUAUCAGCUUGAGUGAUGGAGGAUGUUUUUUCAUUGCAGAGGGAAUUCUCAGGCCUGCAGGCUUCUGAUAACAAGCAAACAAAUUGGCAAUUUCUUUAAAGGCAGUCAAUUAAAAUUAAAGGGACGGGUAUUCUAAAUCACCCUCUAGAGAUGGCUUAUAAUUCAACUGAUAGCUUUUGUGGAAUGUGCAAGGAUGAGGACUCAUUUGUGUACAUGUAAUCUGUCAUCUAAGGAGUAACUAAGCCUGUGUUUAGUGAAGAACACUACAAAGUAUGAUCGGGGACAUGUCCAUCGUUUAGACUGGCAGAAAAAUGGCAUGCACACAAAGAGGAAAACAAUGAGAAGGUAGCACCUGUAUGCCUCUUUGAUAUCCAUUAAAACAAGCACUAAAAAGGUGAGGUAUAAUUAGAACAGUGGAGGUGGGACAUCUGCUUAUGAUUUAAAAUUGAAGGUUUCUGAGUCAUUCGCUUUUGUCUAUUUUGGUUGCAGAACAGCCGUUUUUUUUUCCUGCUCUAUUCAAGCAGGUUUACCCCAGCUCAUCUAUAUUGUUCCAGGUCUACACGUCAGA